rnacentral:rRNA from 1 species
AACGUAGGUGGCGAGCGUUAUCCGGAUUCACUGGGUUUAAAGGGUGCGUAGGUGGGCAAGUAAGUCAGUGGUGAAAUCUCCGGGCUUAACCCGGAAACUGCCAUUGAUACUAUUUGUCUUGAAUACUGUGGAGGUCAGCGGAAUAUGUCAUGUAGCGGUGAAAUGCUUAGAUAUGACAUAGAACACCAAUUGCGAAGGCAGCUGGCUACACAAAUAUUGACACUGAGGCACGAAAGCGUGGGGAUCAAACAGG